rnacentral:rRNA from 1 species
CCUAACACAUGCAAGUCGAACGGUAACAUUUCUAGCUUGCUAGAAGAUGACGAGUGGCGGACGGGUGAGUAAUGCUUGGGAACUUGCCUUUGUGAGGGGGAUAACAGUUGGAAACGACUGCUAAUACCGCAUAAUGUCUUCGGACCAAACGGGGCUUAGGCUCCGGCGCAAAGAGAGGCCCAAGUGAGAUUAGCUAGUUGGUAAGGUAACGGCUUACCAAGGCGACGAUCUCUAGCUGUUCUGAGAGGAAGAUCAGCCACACUGGGACUGAGACACGGCCCAGACUCCUACGGGAGGCAGCAGUGGGGAAUAUUGCACAAUGGGGGAAACCCUGAUGCAGCCAUGCCGCGUGUGUGAAGAAGGCCUUCGGGUUGUAAAGCACUUUCAGUUGUGAGGAAAAGUUAGUAGUUAAUACCUGCUAGCCGUGACGUUAACAACAGAAGAAGCACCGGCUAACUCCGUGCCAGCAGCCGCGGUAAUACGGAGGGUGCGAGCGCUAAUCGGAAUUACUGGGGGUAAAGCGCACGCAGGCGGUUUGUUAAGCUAGAUGUGAAAGCCCCGGGCUCAACCUGGGAUGGUCAUUUAGAACUGGCAGACUAGAGUCUUGGAGAGGGGAGUGGAAUUC